rnacentral:rRNA from 1 species
GAUGAACGCUGGCGGCGUGCCUAAUACAUGCAAGUCGAGCGAACAGACGAGGAGCUUGCUCCUCUGACGUUAGCGGCGGACGGGUGAGUAACACGUGGAUAGCCUACCUAUAAGACUGGGAUAACUUCGGGAAACCGGAGCUAGUACCGGAUAAUAUAUUGAACCGCAUGGUUCAAUAGUGAAAGACGGUUUUGCUGUCACUUAUAGAUGGAUCCGCGCCGCAUUAGCUAGUUGGUAAGGUAACGGCUUACCAAGGCAACGAUGCGUAGCCGACCUGAGAGGGUGAUCGGCCACACUGGAACUGAGACACGGUCCAGACUCCUACGGGAGGCAGCAGUAGGGAAUCUUCCGCAAUGGGCGAAAGCCUGACGGAGCAACGCCGCGUGAGUGAUGAAGGUCUUCGGAUCGUAAAACUCUGUUAUUAGGGAAGAACAAAUGUGUAAGUAACUAUGCACGUCUUGACGGUACCUAAUCAGAAAGCCACGGCUAACUACGUG